rnacentral:lncRNA from 1 species
AUUUAUAUUUAAAAAGUUGAAAUUAAAAAAAAUUAAAUAUGAAUUUAAAAUUUAAAAAUUAGAAUUAAAUUUAAAUUCACUACAACGAAAAUGGUAUAUAGCGAUACUUUUAAAUAUCGGUACAACUAAAAAAAAGUACUACUGACUAAAUUAUCGACACUUUUUAAAAGUGUUGUUAUAUGUUGAGUUGCUAUAUGUAGGGCCACCUUGAUGUCUGGUACCCACUCCUCCAGUUACCUGUGGCGGAGGUACACGUGGCGAUCGUAAUUAACCUUUUAUGGUCCCUACGAGAUCCUCAUGGUCGAACUCCAGCCUCUGGAACCCUAUCUCGUCGGCUGUGGCGGCGAAGGAGGAGGAAGGGAGAUGGUGACCAAUUUUUUCUUUUUUCUUUUCUCUUUGUAAUCGGGCCGAGUGGGUUGGAUAAGAUUGGUUGAGUAGAGAAAUUUUUUGUUUUUGAUUGGAUAGUACUUUAUAUUUAGGUCUUAAUAGAUUUUUUUAAAAAAAUUUUGGCAUAAAUGGGACACUUACAUAAAAGUGUCCAAAAAAUGUGUCCCUAUAACCAUAUUAUAUUGUAGUGAUUUAAACUUUGAAUCUAAAAUUAAAAUUAAAAUUUGAAGUUUGAGUCCAAAAUUAAAAGCUUUUUUCUGCUUCUGAUUAAAAUUUAAAAGCAGUUUUUUUCUAAUUCUAAUUCCAAUGUAAAAAUUAAUUUUCUGAUUCUGAAAAGUGAAAUCAAAAUUUUCAGCACUUGU